rnacentral:rRNA from 1 species
ACGAACGCUGGCGGCGUGCUUAACACAUGCAAGUCGAACGGAAAGGCUCCAGCUUGCUGGAGUACUCGAGUGGCGAACGGGUGAGUAACACGUGGGUAAUCUGCCCUGCACUCUGGGAUAAGCCUGGGAAACUGGGUCUAAUACUGGAUAUGACCUUUCUCCUUAUGGGGUUUGGUGGAAAGUUUUUCGGUGUAGGAUGAGCCCGCGGCCUAUCAGCUUGUUGGUGGGGUGAUGGCCUACCAAGGCGACGACGGGUAGCCGGCCUGAGAGGGUGAUCGGCCACAUUGGGACUGAGAUACGGCCCAGACUCCUACGGGAGGCAGCAGUGGGGAAUAUUGCACAAUGGGCGGAAGCCUGAUGCAGCGACGCCGCGUGAGGGAUGACGGCCUUCGGGUUGUAAACCUCUUUCAGCAGGAACGAAGCGUAAGUGACGGUACCUGCAGAAGAAGCACCGGCUAACUAUGUG